GCGUUUGUAGUUUAGGGGUGUGAGUCUCCUACCGAUACUAUAAUCACUUUGGCUUCAAUUCUAACGUCUGGAACGCAGAGAAUACAAGUUUCCCACCGUAAAGGAAGUACUUGUGGUCCGAGUUCGAGUCUCGGCAAACGCA